UCUAUGGGAAAAUCAACAGAGCAUCUGUUGCUCUGAGCUUCAAAACAAAAACGUCCUCCACUGUGCUAGGAGAUAACAUCCGCAGACGGCUGAAAAUGAAAAUAAAAUAAACAGAGGACUGCAGAUUGUUCAAAUUAGCCUACAUUAAAGCCAGAGGAACAGCCUGUCAUCUCGCUGUUAAAUAAGACCGUGGCUGCUGCUGAUUUGAAGGGACAGAUGACUGAAUGACAAGUGCGAAUAAACCCUGGAAAAGGUGCGAAGUGAGCCAUAGGGAAGCAAGGAACGCAGAGCAGAUGGACAAUUGUAUUUGAACAGGAGAAAAAUAGAAUUUUUAGGGCUCCCAAGGAAUUUGGAACAAGAACUUAGGAACUUAGGAACCCGCUACAAGAAACUGCAGAAAUGUGGUCACCGGCAGUUAAACAGAAGGUAGGAACAAUCAGGAAAUGGAGUGGCUAUUUGAAGGCAACUUGAAGGAGUCCUGUGGUAAGGAAGAUGUUCUGUAUUUUGACUGCAUCAAUGUCAAUAUCCUGCCUUCCCAACACGCCAGAGCUCACUGUCUUCCUUCUCAUCAGAAGCCAUCCCCUUCUACAAGAGCUGAAUCGUGUCUGACAGCCCCACUGGUACUGCCCCCGUUUUGCUGCUGAGGAAACGGGGGCUGCAGAAGACUCUUUGCUCAAUCUCACAUAGCUGAUGAGAAGAACUUUGGACUUGAACCGAGGCAUGCCAUUCUGCAAAGGCCACACUCCUCGAACAACUGAGAAUUCAGGGAUGGUCAACUGCCAGGAAUAAAGUCAGUAUCUUCUCUAUUUUUCGGAGACAGUGCCUACUGACAUUCCUCACAGUGGCCUGAGUGGAGGACUCUGCCCACAACUGCAGAAGCCCUUCUCAGUAUCUUGUGUUCCUAAAACUUGGGGCUCAAAAAAUCCCUAGGUCCCUGGCUGUGCAGUCUCUUAUUCCCAAAUCAUCCAUCCCUCCUAGAGCAAUGAGUGUGUAUUAGCAAUAAAGGAAAUAAGUCACGAA